AAAUUGAAGAGUUUGAUCAUGGCUCAGAUUGAACGCUGGCGGCAGGCCUAACACAUGCAAGUCGAGCGGUAGCACAGAGAGCUUGCUCUCGGGUGACGAGCGGCGGACGGGUGAGUAAUGUCUGGGAAACUGCCUGAUGGAGGGGGAUAACUACUGGAAACGGUAGCUAAUACCGCAUAACGUCGCAAGACCAAAGUGGGGGACCUUCGGGCCUCAUGCCAUCAGAUGUGCCCAGAUGGGAUUAGCUAGUAGGUGGGGUAACGGCUCACCUAGGCGACGAUCCCUAGCUGGUCUGAGAGGAUGACCAGCCACACUGGAACUGAGACACGGUCCAGACUCCUACGGGAGGCAGCAGUGGGGAAUAUUGCACAAUGGGCGCAAGCCUGAUGCAGCCAUGCCGCGUGUGUGAAGAAGGCCUUCGGGUUGUAAAGCACUUUCAGCGGGGAGGAAGGCGGUGAGGUUAAUAACCUCAUCGAUUGACGUUACCCGCAGAAGAAGCACCGGCUAACUCCGUGCCAGCAGCCGCGGUAAUACGGAGGGUGCAAGCGUUAAUCGGAAUUACUGGGCGUAAAGCGCACGCAGGCGGUCUGUCAAGUCGGAUGUGAAAUCCCCGGGCUUAACCUGGGAACUGCAUUCGAAACUGGCAGGCUAGAGUCUUGUAGAGGGGGGUAGAAUUCCAGGUGUAGCGGUGAAAUGCGUAGAGAUCUGGAGGAAUACCGGUGGCGAAGGCGGCCCCCUGGACAAAGACUGACGCUCAGGUGCGAAAGCGUGGGGAGCAAACAGGAUUAGAUACCCUGGUAGUCCACGCCGUAAACGAUGUCGAUUUGGAGGUUGUGCCCUUGAGGCGUGGCUUCCGGAGCUAACGCGUUAAAUCGACCGCCUGGGGAGUACGGCCGCAAGGUUAAAACUCAAAUGAAUUGACGGGGGCCCGCACAAGCGGUGGAGCAUGUGGUUUAAUUCGAUGCAACGCGAAGAACCUUACCUGGUCUUGACAUCCACAGAACUUUCCAGAGAUGGAUUGGUGCCUUCGGGAACUGUGAGACAGGUGCUGCAUGGCUGUCGUCAGCUCGUGUUGUGAAAUGUUGGGUUAAGUCCCGCAACGAGCGCAACCCUUAUCCUUUGUUGCCAGCGGUUCGGCCGGGAACUCAAAGGAGACUGCCAGUGAUAAACUGGAGGAAGGUGGGGAUGACGUCAAGUCAUCAUGGCCCUUACGACCAGGGCUACACACGUGCUACAAUGGCAUAUACAAAGAGAAGCGACCUCGCGAGAGCAAGCGGACCUCAUAAAGUAUGUCGUAGUCCGGAUUGGAGUCUGCAACUCGACUCCAUGAAGUCGGAAUCGCUAGUAAUCGUAGAUCAGAAUGCUACGGUGAAUACGUUCCCGGGCCUUGUACACACCGCCCGUCACACCAUGGGAGUGGGUUGCAAAAGAAGUAGGUAGCUUAACCUUCGGGAGGGCGCUUACCACUUUGUGAUUCAUGACUGGGGUGAAGUCGUAACAAGGUAACCGUAGGGGAACCUGCGGUUGGAUCACCUCCUUA
rnacentral:rRNA from 1 species